UACGGAGGGUGCGAGCGUUGUCCGGAAUCAUUGGGCGUAAAGAGCUCGUAGGCGGCUUGUCGCGUCGUCCGUGAAAACCAGGGGCUCAACCCCUGGCUUGCGGUCGAUACGGGCAGGCUAGAGUUCGGUAGGGGAGACUGGAAUUCCUGGUGUAGCGGUGAAAUGCGCAGAUAUCAGGAGGAACACCGGUGGCGAAGGCGGGUCUCUGGGCCGAUACUGACGCUGAGGCGCGAAAGCCAGGGGAGCAAACGGG
rnacentral:rRNA from 1 species